GAAACAUCCUGCUGAAGAGAAAGGUGGAUCUAAAAAUCAGAGUCUGUCAGGUGGAGGUGGAGGAGGGGGCGGAGUCUGUCCAGCUGCCCUUCAAAACCACACAAAACCUGCCUGAAGAUGCUGAAGUGGUGUGGGAACGCUAUGAACCUGAAUACAGGAAGGUUCACGUGUAUGAGAACGGCUCUGACCAGCCUGAAGAACAGCACCAGGUUUACAGAGACCGAACGAAGAUGAAUGAAGACCUGCUGAAAACUGGAGACCUCAGUCUGACCCUGAAACACCCCAAAGAGAGAGACAGUGGGAGAUAUGUGUGUUAUUUAUGGAGUCAUGGAGACAGAAGGAAAACUGUGCAGCUCAAAGUCAAAGGGAGAGUUCAGGUCCAGGAUCAAACAGGGGACAUCAGGAACAGAAGCAGCUCCAUUGAUCCGACUCCUCUGAUGGCUGAUCAAUCAGUUUGAUCUGUGUGUUCUUUGAUUAUUGAUCAGUGAUGUCAGAGUGGAGUCAGUGUGAUGUUGUUGUUGUGUGUUUGAGACUUUUAGUGUCCAUGAAGGUCUCUGCUGCCGUAGAUCCUCUGAACUGUGACAGAGGUCUCACUCUGGAGGAAACUCUCAGCACUUUCCAGCAGCUCCUCCAUCAUGGAGGACGUUCCCUCACUGUAACAGGUGGAGGAGAGAGGAGAGGAAGCACAGGUGGAUCCUCUGAGGAAGAGGAGCGUUCCUACAAACCACAUGAUCACAUGACCAGAGGGGCGUGGCCUUCAGUGGUAGUAAUAAAGGAACAGUCCACAUGUUCCACUUUGAAGGCUCAUCUCCAACAAAGCAGACCUGUGAUCACUUUAACUCAGUAUGAUGGAUUGUUUGGAUUUGUCUUUGUUUCUCUGGUUUUUCUUGUGUGUCUGUGUGUCUUUGUAUGUUGGAUAGAGUCAUGUGACCUGCCCAGGGACUACACAUGGAAAUGAGCAGUUUAGCUCAAAUCUGGCAGGUUUGCAUCUUCUGUUUUUAUCCUGAUGUCCAUGAACAUGAACACUGUCCCUGUCAAAUAAAU
ensembl:lncRNA